UUUUUCAAAAUGCUGACACGCAUCGGAUCUGAACACCGAUCUUGGUGGUCGUAGAGGAGGAAAAGUAAUAGUGAAGCUGGCCUCACAGUGCCUACAGUCUGUGGGCUAGUUUCAAACAAGG